rnacentral:rRNA from 1 species
AUUGAACGCUGGCGGCAUGCCUUACACAUGCAAGUCGAACGGCAGCACGGGAGCAAUCCUGGUGGCGAGUGGCGAACGGGUGAGUAAAGUAUCGGAACGUGCCCAGUCGUGGGGGAUAACGUAGCGAAAGUUACGCUAAUACCGCAUACGAUCUAUGGAUGAAAGCGGGGGGUCGCAAGACCACGCGCGAUUGGAGCGGCCGAUAUCAGAGUAGGUGGUUGGGGGGGUAAAGGCUCACCAAGCCGACGAUCUUUAGCUGGUCUGAGAGGACGGCCAGCCACACUGGGACUGAGACACGGCCCAGACUCCUACGGGAGGCAGCAGUGGGGAAUUUUGGACAAUGGGCGCAAGCCUGAUCCAGCCAUGCCGCGUGCAGGAUGAAGGCCUUCGGGUUGUAAACUGCUUUUGUACGGAACGAAAAGGUUUGACUUAAUACGUUGGACUCAUGACGGUACCGUAAGAAUAAGCACCGGCUAACUACGUGCCAGCCGCCGCCGUAA